rnacentral:rRNA from 1 species
UACGUAGGGUGCAAGCGUUGUCCGGAAUUAUUGGGCGUAAAGAGCUCGUAGGCGGUUUGUCGCGUCUGCUGUGAAAACCUAAGGCUCAACCUUGGGCUUGCAGUGGGUACGGGCAGACUAGAGUGCGGUAGGGGUGACUGGAAUUCCUGGUGUAGCGGUGGAAUGCGCAGAUAUCAGGAGGAACACCGAUGGCGAAGGCAGGUCACUGGGCCGCAACUGACGCUGGAGGAGCGAAAGCCGUGGGGAGC